rnacentral:tRNA from 23 species
GGGUUGCUAACUCAAUGGUAGAGUACUCGGCUUUUAAGCGACUAGUUCCGGGUUCGAAUCCCGGGCAACCCAC